UACGUAGGGGGCUAGCGUUGUCCGGAAUCAUUGGGCGUAAAGAGCGUGUAGGCGGCCCGGUAAGUCCGCUGUGAAAGUCGGGGGCUCAACCCUCGAAUGCCGGUGGAUACUGUCGGGCUAGAGUGCGGAAGAGGCGAGUGGAAUUCCUGGUGUAGCGGUGAAAUGCGCAGAUAUCAGGAGGAACACCAAUGGCGAAGGCAGCACUCUGGGACGGUACUGACGCUGAGACGCGAAAGCGUGGGGAGCAAACAGG
rnacentral:rRNA from 1 species